rnacentral:lncRNA from 1 species
GGAUUCUUCCUUAUGAUGGCACAGAGCUUUGAGUGGGUCUGAGAGGCUCAGUAUUUCAGAAGUACAGACCCAUCUCUCUUCCCUUUAUUCACACUUCCUCGCCUCAAUUUCUCUUUCUGCCUGAUCAUCUGCAUCCUCUACCUUGGCCCUUCCCUCUUCUCUCCCCUUCCUGUCUACAUGCCUUUCCUUCUCCCCCUGUCUCCUUCCCUACCCACUUCUUGACACUCUCUCAAUCUCUUUUUCACUGCCUCCCUCUUCUCUUUCUCUCUCUCCCUCUCUCUCUCUUCCUCUCUCUCUCUCCCCACUUCCCCUACCCCCACCUGUCUUCCUCAUGGUCUCUCUCAGUCUUAACAUCUCUUUGUCACUCUCCAUUAUACAUGCUCUUUUCCCCUCUCAUUUCGUCUCUCACUAUUUUCUCCUUCCGUUCUAUUUCCCACCCUCGCUCUAACUAACUCCCUCCUUGUCUUCUGGCUUUGUCACUUUCUCUCUCUUUGUCUCCCUCUCUACCCCUCUUUUCUCAUUCCUUCCUUCUAUCCCUUCUUUUCAUUCCCCCUUCUAUCUCUCCCUAUUUGCCCAUACAUCAUUUCUCUUCCUGUAUCUCCCUCCCUUUCUAUCACGCCCUCCCUGCUCCCUUCCUCCCCCUUUCCACCUCUCUUCCCCCCGCCCCAUCCUCUCGUUCUCUGAACACAGGUCUCCUGUCUAGGAGCCCCCAGCUGCCUGGUGAAUUCAUUUCAGCAGCUAUUAGGGAUCAGCACCUGCCCUGAUACUUGGUAGUGAAGAUGAGUUUGAGAUAAGAUGGGCUGUUUCAAUCUCAGCACAUCUGUAAUUGCAUUACCAUUAAAUUGCACCAUUUUCCAAAGGUGAGAGCCCAGGGCCCUUGUGCUGAGAGUCUUCUGUAAAUCCACUGCCAAGUCCUGCAUGAUGUGGAGGCCCCAGGCAGGGAGGAGAGUAGACCCAGCUUGAUUUGACCACAGUAUUAAUCCCUCUUGUCUUCAGGGUCUCUUGUUUUCCAUUUUGUUUCAAAAGUAAAAUAACCCCUGGGAAUCAUUAUUUUCAAUCUUCUCAUGUCACAGACAAAGAAACUGAAGCUCAAAAAAAGGAAGGGAAUUGCCCAAGGUCACUCAGGCAUGAGCCACUGAGUCUGCAGAUGUCCUACACGCUGCAGUCAUCCUGAAAACUAGGACUAAGCAGGGAAAGGGAGGGGGAAGGGAAAAAGCAGGAUCCAGAAUUUUCAGGUUCCAGGAGGAAUGACUUUGGUCCAAUAUGCAAGGGUCUGCCAGAUCUAGGGGGUAGGAUACAAAAACAGUACAUGGAGCAGAGCAUAGCAACAUCAUGACUUCUUGUGGUCUGUCAGGUUUGGCCAGGGAUACAGAAAACAGGAUUCAGCCCCAAGGAGAGGACAAAGCUGGCAAAAGCUGAAUGGGGACUGGGUACAUUCGUUCUCCAGACAGAUGGGCUGGUAUGCAGGGUAGGACUUUAUUUCCAGCUAGGACCUGGGAGACACAACCAGGAAAUCAAUGCAGAAGGCAACACAUAAACCCAGACAAUAACACAGGGGCUGGCAGCAGGGACUGAAGUCCAGGAGCCUGUCCAGAUUGUGUCUGUAUGAAAAGAGAUGCUGGGAAGGAUAGAGCCUGGGAGAAUAAAGAUCAGGUUGGGCCAGAGCCUGGAAGCAGGGGAGACAAGACACAGAUGCUGGCUGGGGGUGAAUUCAGAGGGAGAAUCCACACUACGGAUUAGCCAUCAAGAAGCAUUCCAGAUAGGAGGUUAUGAGGCAAAAGCCGAUGAGCCCAGGGAAGUGUCGGUACUGGCAAAAAACACCAAGCAGGAGAACUCCAGGAGGCCAGAGAGUGUGUCACCUGACCCAGGAGUCUGUUCCCUUAGGUUCUGCCCUCCCUUGUUGGUGCCCUGGUUCCUGCUUCUUAAGGCAAAUAGAUGCAGGAUCAAGCAUAGCCUAGGCUUGCUGUGCAUUAGGGGGUCGUCCCCAGUGCCCAUCUACUGUUGACCUGCCUAAGGAAGGACACAUUUGGGCCCAGGGAGGGCAGGGAAAAUCUCCCCACAGUGGCCUCUGAUGGGUCUUGGAGCCCAGUGAGGCCCACUCCCCAGCUCGGGGCAGCAAUGGCACUAGGAACCUAAACAGGCAGGCUGAGCAGAUGUGGGUCCUCAGCACAUUAUCCCCAGCUCCAGGGAUGGGAGGCCAGCAAGCAAACAAACAAACAGCUAGCAAAUGUGUCCCUGUGCCCCAGGGGUCAUCCCGUGGCAGUGGCUACACCUGCUUUGGCAAAGCAGUUACUUUGAAGCCCAGCCUGAUGCAGAGAGAGCACGCAGCACCCAGGGACAAAACAGGGAAGGGGGGGUUAAUGAUAUGAAAUAGCUCUGUGUAUAAUCUGGGUGCACUAGGAGGGCUGCUGAGAGCCUCUAAAAGCUUCCCCGAGCUGGCUGGCCUCUGAGGCUGGCCCAUUAUGUUGUUUGUUGCCUUGUGAUCAGAAUGAAGCCAGUCCCUGCCAGCCCUGGUUCCAGCCAUGCUACUCCUUUCCCCCAACUCCAAGUACCCAUGGGGCCCCCACCAUGGGUCAACGGGCACAAGGCCAGCUGCCCCUGCAACUCUUAGAUAAAUCAAUUAGGAUAAAUGAGCUUAGUGAUGUGCAAUGCCCUUGCUCCACUGCGUGCCUUCUGAACUAUUAGUUCUCCGGAAAAGAUUAAUUACAGGCGUGCCGUAGUAAUGCUCUUUUAAUGGAAUCUGUUAUUUAAGUUUAAGAAGAGCAGGUAUUGAAUUUAUGGGAGUUAGAUACCUGUUAUGUGCAUCCCAAAUCAGGGGCGAUGAAUGGAGCUAACCUCUGGAUAGACCUGUUGAAACAGGAGAGCCAGUAAUCUCUCUGAAUCCUGCAGGAGGUUGUGCCAAGUCCUGGAAGGUUUUCCUGGAAUUGACUGCAUGUGUUUGUGGAAUUAACUUUUCAAUCUAUUUGAACAGGCACUAUUAUGUUGAUAGAAACAGAAUAGAAAAAUGGAAAAGGAGGUAUUGAAAGGAAGAGGCUGAGUGACCUUAAAUAAGUCAUGGAGUGCGGUGUACACAGAAAGAGCUUGUUUGAUUUGGAGUCAUAUUAAUAGAGGUAUGAUGUCACGAGCAAAGGAGGUUUGAGCCUUGCCCUAGACAGUCACAUAUAAAGCCAGCAGUGGCUAGAAUGAUGAGAAUCAGAAAAUUGAAUCCUAUGAAAGUUGCAAGUAGCUCCUAGGAAAUGAGGAUGGGAAAAAGCAAAGCUAGCAAACAUUCAGUCUCUAAAUCAGUGGUUCUUAGUCCUGGCUGCUUUUUAGAACCAUCUGAGAAAACCUUUAGAAAACACCAAUACCCAGGCCUCCUCCCCAGAAAUUCUGCUCCAAUUAGCCUUGAGGACCCAGUCAAUAGUAUUUUUUUUAAGUUCCUCAGGUCAUCUUAAUGUGUAGCCAAGGUUGAGAACCACUGACCUAAAGGAUGCCACGGUUAUCAGGAGGGGCUCUUAUGUGCAGCUCUGGAUCAUGAACACACAUGAAUAGAUGGAAGUUUUUGUCCCAAUAGGUUGGAAUCCCUUGGUGGGUAGACCAGCAGAGGAUGAGGAUGGAGUGAGCUGGCCGAAGGAGUUGAGCCAGGGUCUGGCUCCUGGGUAGAGGAUGUUAGCAAUUGAGCACAGCACUGAGCAGGUUGGACAAUCCGAGAGAGCCAUAGAGACCUGGCCUUCAUGCAACCAAUCUCACAUUUGUUUGUUGAACCUUUGUAAAGGAGAACACGCAGAGGUCAGCAAUGUCACCAGGAUUCCCGGAGCCCAAUGUGGGUUGGAGGCAGUGCAACAGGUGUCUCUGAACAGAAGCAACAUUCAGAGAUGGAUGGAAGGCUCAGAGCAUUAUGGGCAAAAGCUGAGUACAUUCAGAGCCCCAGACAACUGCCAGGUGCCCAGAAGGGGGCAUGGUCUUGCCCCCAGGAAAGAGGAAUCUGGCAGGAACUGGGCGGAAGACCCAGGGCCUCGCCCUCCCAGAUAAAAUCUCAUGACUGGGUUUCUAUCCCAGAAGAAUCAGUCAGAACCAGAAGCCCUUCUGGCCGUGCAUAGUGGGAGUGUGGUGUGGAGAAGGAAACACCCACUAGAGGCCAGGCCCUGAGAAGGAGCUCCAGGUCCACCAUCACUUCACUCCUAGCAAUGGCCCUGCAAUUGUAGGAAGUUGGGAACAUGUUACAGAAUUGAAAUCUGAGGCUGAGAGAGCUUUGUCACAGUCAGGGUCUGGCUGCAAAUAUCUUUCCAUGGACCCAGGCUGAGGGGCCAGGCUGCCCUGUGCCAAGGACUGAAGCCACACCAAUAACCUGCCAGGCCAGGUCCUCUCCCACCCCUAGAAUGGAUAAGACAGAAUCUGAGAGGAGUUCCCGUUGUGGCUCAGUGAUGACAGAUCCAACUAGUACGCAUUGAGGACAUGGGUUUGAUGCCUGGCCUUACUCAGAGGGUUAAGGAUCCGGCGUUGCCGUGAGCUGUGGUGUAGGUUGCAGAUGCAGCUCAGAUCCCACGUUUCUGUGGCUGUGGUGUAGGUCGGCAGCUACAACCCUGAUUCCACCCCUAGCCUGGGAAUCUCCAUAUGCUGUGGGUGUGGCCCCCAAAAGAUUAAAAAAUAAUAGUAAAAAUAAAUAAAUAAAUAAAUUUUUGAAAAGACAAAAUCUGAGAGUCUUCAGUCCCAGGAAAAUGAAGUGGGGGAUACAGGAUACUGUGUAUUGGAGAGACUGAGCCAGGAGUGGGUGAUAUGCACUGCUGGUUUCUCUAAACCAGAGAUUCUGAGAAGCUUCCAGGUCAUCUCUCAAAUGGGUUUAGCAGCCUCUGUGCUGUCCCCUGUGGACUGUGUUGUGCCCUGUGGGGUGAUGGAAUGAUGGGGUAUAAAAUGUUUAGAAAUGUUAUAGACCCCUGCGAUGAAGCUUGAUCCCCUCACACCUACACAUACACACAUCCACACAGACACAUACAUAAAUAUGUACCUAUACCCAUAGACCCAGACAUACGCAAUGCUCGACAAGUUACACUGUAUUUAUUUCCCUCUUCUCAUCCCCAAGCCUUUGACAAAGUCUUGUUUAACUACUCCAGCCCAGUCUCAACGAGGCCAAAAUCUUUCUAUGCUUGGGCCAGAAUAAGAAAUCAGGAGUAGGGGUGCCCUUUACUGCACAUAGAAGGUGCAUGAUAAAUAUUUGAUGAAGGAAAGAAUAGAUGAAUGAAUGAAUGAAUGAAUGAAUGAAUGAAUGAAAAGAGUGAAUGAUAUUGCACGGCAAUUGCAACCCUAACAACUCACACAUACAGAAAUUUUUAGAGUGAACGAUGAGCUUUAAUACAUUUUAUCUCAGAUAAUCCUGUAACAGGUAUUAUUCCCACUUGACAGAUGAGGCCUCUGAGGCUCAGAAAGGUCAAGUCACUUUCCCAAAGAUACACAGCCAGUAAAUGGAACAGGAGCUGUAGAGCCGAGAGCUGGGUGAGACCUGCACUUACAACACCUCAAGAGUUAUUGAGGCCCCCAGUGACCUGCCCGGAUCUCGCCUAGCCUCCCCCUGCCCCACUCGCUGCCUUCUUUUCUCCAUAGCGCUUCUCACUACCUGAGUUUAUGACUCAAGUAUUCAUGUAUCCUCUAUGGCCCAUCUCUCUCACUUGUAAGCAUGUUCCGGGAGGGCAGGGCUCUCUCCCUCUUGUGGAUCCCUGUGCCCAGUGCCCAGGACAGUGCCCGGCAUACAAAUGCCCCACCGAGCAUCGAUUCAUGCCUGGCUGAGGGAUUGCUCUGGGGGACAUGUGGGGGGCGUGGGUGGUAUUCUUGGUGACACGGCUGCCUCCUCCACGUCCUCCUUUGCAAAGGUUCAGUACACAAAUGUGAGGUUGGUUACCAAUUAUUUCUGCCAUUUUUCAUACAAUGGAGUUAACAGCUGGCUGAGCUACAAUACAUCAAUUGUGUAAA